rnacentral:rRNA from 1 species
GACGAACGCUGGCGGCGUGCUUAACACAUGCAAGUCGAACGGGCCUGUCUUCUUUUUUGGGGGUGGGUUGAGUGGCGAACGGGUGAGUAUCACGUGAGUAACCUGCCCUUCGGUCCUGGAUAACCGCUUGAAAGGGCGGCUAAUACGGGGUGGUCCGGUUGGUCCGCAUGGGCUGGUCGGGAUAGAUUCACUGUUUUGGUGUUUCGGCGGGGGAUGGGCUCGCGGCCUAUCAGCUUGUUGGUGGGGUGAUGGCCUACCAAGGCGGUGACGGGUAGCCGGCCUGAGAGGGUGGGCGGCCACACUGGGACUGGGAUACGGCCCAGACUCCUGCGGGAGGCAGCAGUGGGGGGUAUUGCACAAUGGGCGGAAGCCUGAUGCAGCGACGUCGCGUGAGGGAUGGAGGCCUUCGGGUUGUGAACCUCUGUUUCCGGUGGUGAAGGCCCUGUCCGUGUGGUGGGGUUGACGGUAGCCGGGGAUGAAGCGCCGGCUAACUACGUG